CCUAGAGCUCAUUCCCUACGCCCCGACUCUGUCCUGGACAGCGUGCCCACCAGCCAUGGCGGGGCCCCGGGGCCUCCUCCCACUCUGCCUCCUGGCCUUCUGCCUGGCAGGCUUCAGCUUCGUCAGGGGGCAGGUGCUGUUCAAAGGCUGUGAUGUGAAAACCACAUUUGUCACUCAUGUACCCUGCACCUCGUGCGCGGCCAUCAAGAAGCAGACGUGUCCCUCAGGCUGGCUGCGGGAGCUCCCGGAUCAGAUAACCCAGGACUGCCGCUACGAAGUACAGCUGGGGGGCUCUAUGGUGUCCAUGAGCGGAUGCAGACGGAAGUGCCGGAAGCAAGUGGUGCAGAAGGCCUGCUGCCCUGGCUACUGGGGUUCCCGGUGCUAUGAAUGCCCUGGGGGCGCUGAGACCCCAUGCAAUGGCCACGGGACCUGCUUGGAUGGCAUGGACAGGAAUGGGACCUGUGUGUGCCAGGUAAGGGCUGGGCAAGGUGGGGUGGAGGCUCAGAGGGGCCACGCUGACUUGGUGCAUCCACCACCAGGAAAACUUCCGCGGCUCAGCCUGCCAGGAGUGCCAAGACCCCAACCGGUUCGGGCCUGACUGCCAAUCGGUGUGCCGCUGUGUGCACGGAGUGUGCAACCAUGGGCCACGUGGGGAUGGAAGCUGCCUGUGCUUUGCUGGAUACACUGGCCCCCACUGUGAUCAAGAGCUGCCCGUCUGCCAGGAGCUGCGCUGUCCCCAGAACACCCAGUGCUCCGCAGAGGCUCCCAGCUGCAGGUGCCUGCCCGGCUACACACAGCAGGGCAGUGAAUGCCGAGCCCCCAACCCCUGCUGGCCAUCACCCUGCUCACUGCUGGCCCAGUGCUCGGUAAGCCCCAAGGGGCAGGCUCAGUGUCACUGCCCUGAGAACUACCAUGGCGAUGGGAUGGUGUGUCUGCCCAAGGACCCAUGCACUGACAACCUUGGUGGCUGCCCCAGCAACUCUACUUUGUGUGUGUACCAGAAGCCGGGCCAGGCCUUCUGCACCUGCCGGCCAGGCCUGGUCAGCAUCAACAGCAACGCUUCUGCGGGCUGCUUCGCCUUCUGCUCCCCCUUCUCCUGCGACCGGUCUGCCACUUGCCAGGUGACCGCUGAUGGGAAGACCAGCUGUGUGUGCAGGGAAAGCGAGGUGGGGGAUGGGCGUGCCUGCUACGGACACCUGCUCCACGAGGUGCAGAAGGCCACGCAGACAGGCCGGGUGUUCCUGCAGCUGAGGGUCGCCGUGGCCAUGAUGGACCAGGGCUGCCGGGAGAUCCUUACCACAGCGGGCCCUUUCACCGUGCUGGUGCCAUCCGUCUCCUCCUUCUCCUCCAGGACCAUGAAUGCAUCCCUUGCCCAGCAGCUCUGUAGACAGCACAUCAUCGCAGGGCAGCACAUCCUGGAGGACACAAGGACCCAACAAACACGAAGGUGGUGGACGCUGGCCGGGCAGGAGAUCACCGUCACCUUCAACCAAUUCACGAAAUACUCCUACAAGUACAAAGACCAGCCCCAGCAGACGUUCAACAUCUACAAGGCCAACAACAUAGCAGCCAAUGGCGUCUUCCACGUGGUCACUGGCCUGCGGUGGCAGGCCCCCUCUGGGACCCCUGGGGAUCCCAAGAGAACUAUCGGACAGAUCCUCGCCUCUACCGAGGCCUUCAGCCGCUUUGAAACCAUCCUGGAGAACUGUGGGCUGCCCUCCAUCCUGGACGGACCUGGGCCCUUCACAGUCUUUGCCCCAAGCAAUGAGGCUGUGGACAGCUUGCGUGACGGCCGCCUGAUCUACCUCUUCACAGCGGGUCUCUCUAAACUGCAGGAGUUGGUGCGGUACCACAUCUACAACCACGGCCAGCUGACCGUUGAGAAGCUCAUCUCCAAGGGUCGGAUCCUCACCAUGGCGAACCAGGUCCUGGCUGUGAACAUCUCUGAGGAGGGGCGCAUCCUGCUGGGACCCGAGGGGGUCCCGCUGCAGAGGGUAGACGUGAUGGCUGCCAAUGGCGUGAUCCACAUGCUGGACGGCAUCCUGCUGCCCCCGACCAUCCUGCCCAUCCUGCCCAAGCACUGCAGCGAGGAGCAGCACAAGAUUGUGGCGGGCUCCUGUGUGGACUGCCAAGCCCUGAACACCAGCACGUGUCCCCCCAACAGUGUGAAGCUGGACAUCUUCCCCAAGGAGUGUGUCUAUAUCCAUGACCCAACUGGGCUCAAUGUGCUAAAGAAGGGCUGUGCCAGCUACUGCAACCAAACCAUCAUGGAACAAGGCUGCUGCAAAGGUUUUUUCGGGCCUGACUGCACGCAGUGUCCUGGGGGCUUCUCCAACCCCUGCUAUGGCAAAGGCAAUGUGAGUCCCAUCCUCUCCUGGGGUGAGGUAUGGGGAACACAAGGACUCCUUCACCGGUUGGCCAGUGACUGGCUGUGUGUCUGGGCCAAGCCUGCCACUCUCUGGCCUUGGGAUUCUCAUAUCUACGCAGUGGAAAGUUGGAUCAAAUUAUUUCUCAUAUUUUAAUUAAAAAUAAUUAGAGAGGCC
rnacentral:sRNA from 1 species